CGGGGUGAGUAAUGUAUGGGGAUCUGCCUGAUGGCGGGGGGUAACUACUGGAAACGGUAGCUAAUACCGCAUAACGUCGCAAGACCAAAGAGGGGGACCUUCGGGCCUCUUGCCAUCGGAUGUGCCCAGAUGGGAUUAGCUAGUAGGUGGGGUAACGGCUCACCUAGGCGACGAUCCCUAGCUGGUCUGAGAGGAUGACCAGCCACACUGAAACUGAGACACGGUCCAG
rnacentral:rRNA from 1 species